GGUCAGUGUCUCGGGGCAUCAGUCGGGCAUUCGGAAGAGCUGGGGAGACUCAACGGUGUAUGUGCUGAUGUGGCUGACCUUAAUAAGAACUCCCAUCACCAUGGCUCGGACUUCCAUCUCAAUGGAAAGAAAUGACGUGACUGUUAGACCACCUGGAAUGUUCUCUGUGGGAAGAUCCAGGAAGCUGGCUGCAUAGUGGUGUCUGGGCUUGUUGAUGGAGAUCAAGGUUGGAACCAAAGCCAGACACUAAAUAUUUCUCACGAGGCACACAAAACUUUUCACUUUUGUCACGAGGAGGAUUUUGGUGACAUCACUGUGUGAUUGCCCCCCUCAGGCAGCAUUCUCCUGCCUGACAUUCUCCAGCAUGGAGACAGUGGCAGUCUGGAAAUGUCCUAUGUGUUCAGUGUCUGAGUUAGAAGAAGCCACCAGCCUCUGAGUGUGUGUGACGACCUCACGUCUGACUGAAAUCGACAGGAAGACUGAGCUCCGCAGGUCAAGGACGCUUCGCCAAAUUAUCUCUCUAGAAGGUGGAGAAAAUAGUUUGCUGCAUAAUUUUGAAGUCGCCUCCCUUUUUAUGUGAUAAGGAUGGAGCCAUUGCAUCACAAUAAACCAUGGCACCUGUU